GACAGAAGACGCAAUCUCAGCAGAGAAGGCAAGGGGACUCAAGCUGUUAGCAUAAGCAAAGAAGGCUAACAAGCGGCGUUAAAGGAAGAAAAAACUAGCGGAUUUCCACAGUCGGUAUUCAGCCAACAAGCUUUCUCUGCCACAGCAACCGAAGCAGUCAUUGUUCUUCUGACACAGGAAGACCAGGGCCGGGAAAAUCACCUGCAAUCAAAAAUUACAAAACUGUUGUGAAAGAAGAGAAGGAUGUUGCACAGAACACACCCUACAACCAGGGGCAUCAGACUGAUCCCCAGACACCUCGCAAAGCCUCCAGAGCACAUUGUGGUAGUUUUACAAACCCAAACGCCACCGAUUGUAUUUUCUGAGGUGAAAGAAUUGUGCC